UGAAAAAAAGGGAGUUAUGGAUACUUCAAUGGUAGGUUUGGUCCAAGAUUAUAGUCCAAGUUAGUUACACAAAAAAGCGCCACACACGCGCCCAGAUCGGGCCGAGUAUGGUGAUUUACUCCAUCAAUUUUGCAGAAUUCAUUUUUGCAUUGGUUGCUAACCUUCAUGACUGAAGGCUCCUCAUCUCUCCUUCUUGUGGAUAAAUAAAGAUCACCUUCCUUUAGUUUAGUACUCAAAAUUUUGCUCUCUAGCUAUGUUGUUUGUCUGCAUAUAUUAUUCUUUCGAGUGUGGGAGAGUGUUGCCAUUGUCAAAAUUUGUCGAAGCUAUUCAAAAGGUGCUUCUACUCUAAUUGAUUUCGAUCGACGUAUGUUGGGAGACAAACGUCAGCAUACCUCCACCACCUAAUGGUGAUGCAGUGAAUCUAUUUUACGAAAAGUGUGGUUUCACAGGGUGAGACAGUGCUGGAAUCAGGGAAAGAUGAAGGAUCUGCGAAGAAUAGUUCAUUUCUAGAGCUAUUGUCUGUUGUUAGGCAACAAAUAAUUGAUGGAUUCACUCCCAAGGCUACUGAUGCGUUUCGAAGAGAAUUUGAUUUCUUUGAUAAAGUGACAUCUAUAUCCGGUGUGCUCUGUCCAAAGGAGGAAUGACGAGCUGGUAUACGGAGGUACAGGUAAUAUGCCACCUCCAAGGACAUAGCUUGGAUGAUGAUGAGAGUUGAAGACUU